AUGAGCAUCCUUGAGUGCCCGCUCCCCGCGAUCCUCAGCAUCUCUAAUGGCAGCCUCCAGGGAAGCCCUCUGGCCUUUGAGGCCCUCGAUCUCAGCCUGGAGCCGGCUGAUGUUCCAGUUCAUCUCGGAGAUCUCAGUCUUCGUACACCGCAGGUCAUCCCCGUGCUUCCCAGCCAGCAUCUGCAACUCCUCAUACUUGAUCUGGUAUAUGCUCUCCGCCUCAGCCCGGCUGCUGUUGGCGAUCUCCUCGUACUGCGCCUUGACCUCGGCAAUGAUGCCAUCCAUGUCCAGAGAGCGGCUGUUGUCUAUGGACAGCACCACAGACGUGUCGGAGAUCUGGGACUGCAGCUCCCGGAUCUCCUCUUCAUACAGCUGCCUGAGGAAGUUGAUCUCGUCAGUCAGUCCUUCCAGGCGAGACUCCAGCUCUACCUUGUUCAUGUAAGCUUCAUCCACAUCCUUCUUGAUGAGGACAAAUCCAUUCUCCAUCUCUGUAUGCUUAUUGAUCUCUUCCUCAUACUUGUUCUUGAAGUCCUCCACCAGCCCCUGCAUGUUGCCAAGCUCCGCCUCCAGCUUCAGCUUCUCCUGGCCCAGAGUCUCCAGCUGCCGCCUCAGGUUGUUGAUGUAGUUCUCAAACAUGUUGUCCAUGUUGCUCCUAGCCGUUUUCUGCUGCUGCAGGAGGCUCCACUUGGUCUCCAGCAUCUUGUUCUGCUGCUCCAGGAACCGCACCUUGUCGAUGAAGGAAGCAAACUUGUUGCUGAGGGUCUUGAUCUGCUCCUUCUCCUGGGUACGCACGGCCUGGAUGUUGGGGUCCACAUCCACCUUAAUGGGGUUCAGCAGGCUCUGGUUGAUGGUGACGGCGGUGAUGCCUCCCAUGCCUAUGCCGCUGGCCCCAAAAUAGCCUGCACCCAGGCCACCCCGGAAGCCACUACUGCAGAUAGGAAAUAAACAUUCUUCAACAUGCCCAAAUACAAAGAUAAAUUUGUACCAAAAUUAUUCCUUAUGAAAAGCAGAGUUAUUUUUCAUCCUUAAAAUAUUUUCUUAUCAAAGGGCACCCUCCCAAUUACUAUAUUCUGAACAGCAAUGUUUCUUGUGGGAAGAGACAACAGCCUGAAAUUAUCUCAACUAAUGGUAGUUUGAAUUUCAUAUAAGUAAUAAAAUUUAAAAAGAAGAAAAUUUUAACAGAGAUUUAACAGCUAUUUAUAGAGGGAUUAAUUCACUGUUGUAAGUUUGAGGUAUUUUAAUAGUGCAGCCUUUUAAAGAUUGGCUAAGAAAUGGAUAACAGCAGUAGUGAUGUUGAAAGACCAUAAAUAUAGAUCCUUAGGCCAAAAAAAAAAAAAAAAAAGAAAGAAACAAAAGAAAUUGCCCUCAUACUAUGUGAAUGAUAUUCUGUGACUUGGGAAAAACAUCCUGUUGGUUCCAAAAAUGUUGUAUCUUACAUAUUUAGACAGUAAUAAAAAUGAAGUUGGGAGUUAUCUAACUCAAUAUAUGCUUCCAGCGGUAAUGAGGAAAGGGAUGCUGAAAGGGCAAGUGACAGUUAAAAAAACUUACCUGGGGAAUUGUAAGGCUGAUAAAAGUAAGUUUUAAAAACUAAUUUAUUAUGUUACAUAUUUAGUGUUAGGUGUUUAUGUAAUUAAGUUAAAUACUAUAAAAAGAUAUUUACAUUACUAAUGGUAUUAUUGAAUAUUCCCCGUUACUCCUACAUAUUCUUACUAGAGGAAACACAUGCAUGGUUUCUUAGUCUCAAUUAGAAAACCAGUUUAUUUAUGAACACAUAAAGUAUCUUAAAGCAUACAUAAUUAAAUUUAAAAUAAAUUAAAAUAUGCAAUAGUAUUAUCCUGAAAUUCUCCUAAUAUUUUUACUUUAGGCUGAUGCUUGGUUUCCAAAAGGACGAUCCUUCCAGAGCACUAUAACUACUGGGAUUGACAAACUUUUCAUGCUUUAUCAAGUAGAAGGAGAAUAGAAAUUUCAUGCAAUUCAACAUCUUCUACAAAUAAAGAACAUAUAGCAGUCUCCAAAUACAAAGGAAUAGUUCUAGGAAAAGAAAUUUGGGGUGAGAAAUGGCCCAAGAGUGAUUCUAUUUUUUUUCUUCAGUUACCAUUUAUACUAAAGUGAAUGAAGGUACUCUUCUGUGAUCUACAGGGCAUAAUAUGGGCUAAGGAUGCCAAGUAUACUGUGUAAAAGCAUUUUCUGACCAUAGUGGUUCCAUAUACUUAUGAAAUACUACAUAAGGUUUAUACGGUCUGAAAGCUUUCAAAUGUGAACAUUCUUCUAACUUUUUGGUAGCUAGUAAACUGGAAUCUCAAAAAAGACUAUUAGAACUUGACAGUUUCUCUCUGGCUUAGGCUAUGUGUUCUUAGAAAAGAACACAUAGAGAGACUUGAAUUCGAAUCAUUGUCACUUUCAAGUGUAACUCUGGGAAAGUCCCUUAACUCAUUUUACAAAGUAAUCCAAUAACACCAACCAUCCACAACAGUGAUGGGAACUUCAAUUAGUCAAUGAGUAUUUAUUAAACACCUAAUGUGUGUCAGCUACUAUGCUAGGUUCAAGGAGAAAACAGCUAUUAUGUUAAAAAAGAUAGAAUUACUUCCCACCAGGUUCCUCCCUCAACAUGUGGGGAUUAUAAUUCAAGAUGAGAUUUGAGGGGGGAAACAGAGCCAAAGCAUAUCAAGUAUUAAAUAAGAUAAAGGGAAAAACACUUUAUUAGAGAAUGUUCCUAAAUCUUUAAGAGCAUUCCUCAGGGAAUAGUCUUAGAGUUAGUUCACCAAAACUAAACUGAGACAAGGACUUAGUGUAUCUGGGACACAAUCCCAGGGGGUACAUGUAAGGAAGUGGGGAAGUGAGACGGCAGAGUGACAGAAGCCAUAGAAAAGUGUAUAUUAAUGAUCAAGACACUGCUAUGAGUUACUGCUGCUCAGUCCCACUGAGAACUCUCUAAGAAACCAUGAAGAUCCUGAUAUAAAAUCAUAACACAAAAUCAUCUUUUUGGAAAUGAAAUAACUUAUCCACUGACUACUACUCCUCAAUUGUCCCUAAGCAUGUGAACUUCCCCCUACUUACAGGUUACACCCAGCUUGUGGCCGAGCAACUUCUCUGAUAUCCUCUGGUAGAAGAGAGUUGAAGGUGUCUGAAAUGGAUAUUUUUUUCAAAAUGCAGAAACUGUCUAUCACAGCCUAAAGAAUUUAAGUGGGCAAAAGGGUAUUGGGGGUGACUUUAACAACUUCUGCUUCAAGACGUUGUUGAGAUAUUUUAUCUACCAAAAUUGAGUGUUAUACUUUUUCUCCUACAGCUGUAAUCAUCAAACACGCCUUAUUAUUUAUACAGCCCACUUUGAUUCUACAUCCAACAAAGAAAAUAUCUAAGAAGUAUGUAGGUUGCAAAUUCCAAUUAAGCUGAAUACAGAGUCAAAUCUAGGGACAAUAAGCAUCUUUAAUUUCUCAUUCAGAACUCCUGUUCAGCCCUGAGCUAGCAAUAUCAAUUUUACAAAAAGAAGACACUCAUGCAGCUUUAUUUAUUUUUUUUUUAGCUGUUAUUAUCAAUUUGGCUCCAUGGAGUUCUGCUUUACCCAUUCCUAUUGUCUAGCAAAAUGGCUACAUAGAGCAAUAACUUUACUGUCUUCAGUGAUUUUCUGAUGAGAAGCAAGGAGGUCACUGGAGUAUUUUGAAGAUACUGCUAAUCACUCAAUGAAACAGUCCGAGGAUACCAAAAAUGCCCACGUAAUGACAAACAUUUACAGAGUCCUACAGCUUGACAAAGUGAAAAAAGACAGCAGAGUCAGAGUCAGAUAUAUCAGGUUUCAAAUUCUUGCUUUACCUUUACGUGAAUAUUUGACUUCAGGAUUUUGAGUAACCUCUUGUACCCACAGAAAAUCUUAUUGGUAAAAGAGUGAUACAUUAACUAGCACACAAUACUAUGGUGAGACAUAGUAAAUAACAUGUGUAAAAUGCUAUUUACAAUGACAAGUACAUG
ensembl:lncRNA